CUCAGAAGAGCUUUGCUCUUUUUUAUUCAUGUGCGUUGUUUUAAUAGAUUUUAUUUUUCCUUUUUCUCCCCAAAUCCCCUGGUACAUAGUUGUAUAUUUUUAGUUGUGGGUCCUUCUAGUUGUGGCAUGUGGGAUGCUGCCUCAGCAUGGCUUGAUGAGUGGUGCUGUGUUGGUGCCAACUUAACCACUCGGCCACGGGGCCGGCCCCUUAGCCUUGCUUUUUAAAAUCCUGUACCAAGAAGAACCACGAUAGAAGGCUUUUUCAGAUAUAAAACAGUUUUGUUUUUGUUUUAGCUCAGCUGUAAGUGAGAAGGCACAGCUUCCUUGUCCAUUCCCUCAAAAGCAGCCCAGCUAUACAGGAGGGAGUCACUGGCUGGCCUGCAAUAGGGUCCACCCCUUACAAGACCAUAGCUCCAGGUCUCGUAAGUCCAGUUGAAGUCCUUUCGAACUUGGGAGUCAGGCUGCAUCACAGGUUUCUUCAACUGGGUCGUAGAUGGCAGCCAGCUCAAGUAAAGUUUCUUUAACGGAACAAUUCAUAAAAAGCCAUUCCAACACACCUGUCCAGGGCAUCAGUUCCGCGCAGGCCUCCCCAGAUCCUCUCCCGCGCUCUGAGUUCUCAGCCCAGCAUGGAAGCCGAAGGGGCGGGUCCUUUCGGGGAUCGCGGCAGCUCGGUCCACGGCGUCCGUCGUUGCCCUGGCUUCUGGUUCAGAGCGGCGCGGCGGCGUCCCUCCGGCGGGCGGCCCGCACCAGGCACUGCUGCAGGACGGGGUAGAGGCGCUGGCAGCCCUCGAGGCCCAGGCGCACGGCCUCAGCCCAGCUCUCGGUCGGGCCGCCCUCCCCGCUGCCCAGCAGCCCGGCCACCUGGUUGAGAACGGGCAUGAGCGCCACCGUGAGGCCGGCGGCGGCGCGAUCCUCCUCGAGCCGCGUGGGGUCCAGCAGCCAGGUGGGCGCGGGCCCCGGCGCACGGCUCAGGCCGCAGCCCACCACCAGGUCGUACAUCUCGACGCCCGCGUCGGCCAGGGCAAGCGCGGCGGCCGUGAGCGCGGCGGCCAGGGCCGAGCCGCCGUCCUCGAGCAGCAACGCCGAUACCUCGAGCUGCGCGCGCGGGUAGCGGCCCAGGCGCACGGCCGGCUCGAGCGCCUCCUGCAGGGCCAGCGCCAGCUCGCGCUCCUCGCCACCCCCCGGGGGCGCGCGGCGCCGGCGGGCCCGCGAAAGGCGCGCGGCGAAAGUCGCAGAGCAGGCGGCCGCGCAGCGCGGCCGGGGCCUCGCCGCCCGCUCCGGCCGGGCCGCCGCCGCGCUCGCCGCCCUCGGCCUGGCGCGGACCAGACACGGCGCACAGCACCUUGGUGCCCCCCGCCUCCAGGUAGGCCGAGCCCUUGGCCUGGCUCAGCAGCCCGGCGCGCGCGUACACGGGCCGCAGCCGCGUCGGGUCGCGAGCGGCGGGCGCCUCCUCCUCGUCGGCGGCGUACAGCUGCGGCGGCUGCGACUCCUCCGGGCCGCGGAUGCGGCGGUGGUCCCCGGGCAUGGCGGCGCCGGGCGUGUGCGCCGCUUCCGCCCGCCCGGCCUAGC
ensembl:lncRNA